rnacentral:sRNA from 1 species
AUGGCUGUCGUCAGCUCGUGUCGUGAGAUGUUGGGUUAAGUCCCGCAACGAGCGCAACCCUUGUCCUAUGUUGCCAGCGCGUAAUGGCGGGGACUCGUAGGAGACUGCCGGGGUCAACUCGGAGGAAGGUGGGGACGACGUCAAGUCAUCAUGCCCCUUACGUCCAGGGCUGCACACAUGCUACAAUGGCCGGUACAGAGGGCUGCUAUCCCGCGAGGGUGAGCGAAUCCCAAAAAGCCGGUCUCAGUUCGGAUUGCAGUCUGCAACUCGACUGCAUGAAGUUGGAGUUGCUAGUAAUCCCGGAUCAGCAACGCCGGGGUGAAUACGUUCCCGGGCCUUGUACACACCGCCCGUCAAACCACGAAAGUCGGCAACACCCGAAGCCGGUGACCCAACCUUAGGGAGGGAGCCGUCGAAGGUGGGGUUGGUGAUUGGGGUUAAGUCGUAACAAGGUAGCCGUACCGGAAGGUGCGGCUGGAUCACCUCCUUUCUAAGGAUUCACGAUCGAUCUUUCAUCGAAUAUUUCGAUGGGAGAUUGUGAUUCCCAGUCGAUCACUGGUUACUUGUUGGCUGAUGACACCCACCCGGGUUGAUUUCGAGGCUUGCCUCGAUCAUGUCCCCGGACACAGGCUCUGUCGUCUUUCUUCAGACUGUUCCUAUUCCGUUCCCAGGGAGCGGCGUUGCCGCGUCCCGAUGGACCCUUGAGAACUCCAUAGCGAGCACGAGCAUCUGAUUCUCCAAGAUACAAAGAGCCAACGGUGGAUGCCUUGGCGCCUGAUGCCGAUGAAGGACGUGGGGGGCUGCGAAAAGCCACGGGGAGUUGUCUACCAAGCAUUGAUCCGUGGAUGUCCGAAUGGGGAAACCCGG